rfam:Brachypodium distachyon strain Bd21 chromosome 2, whole genome shotgun sequence.
GGGCGAGAUGAGGAUGAAAUUAUUUUUUGAUGGACCGGUAUGAUGGCCAAUAUCAUGUAUUAGCUCUAUCUGAUCAAUC